rnacentral:tRNA from 1 species
GCGGUCGUAGCUCAGUGGUAGAGCGCCAGGUCGUGGCCCUGGAGGCGCGGGUUCAACUCCCGCCGGUCGCC